AGUCAAAGCACGAAAAUGGUAAGGGAGAUGCUAGUAACAAGCACCUGGAAUACUCUGAUGAUUAAUAUAAAGGGAUAUCUGCCAGACACACGAAGAUGCAACUCCUCACAGAUAGAACAUUAGUUACAUCUCUGCGGAUGAGAUCAAGCCAAAUCCACAGACGAUUACACUUCAAAUUGAAGAGAGCACUUAAAAGAGCUCUCUAAUACCUGCCAGUUCUUUGGGAGAGGUGGGCUCUUUGGCAACAGAUGGCGGUCGAAUUUUCAUCUCAAUGGCGACCCUGGAGGAGAAGCGGGACUUUGUGGGUGACAGC